CCCCUGUAUAUGUAUUGUAUCGCCAGAUACUUAAAACGCCCAAGUUUACUUCCUUUUGACAAGGUCUAUAUGUAAGAACAGCACCUACUGCAAUUCACCAGUUUGAUUUACAGUUGUUUACAAAGGAAGUGCUAUGCAUAGCUUCUCAGAUAUCUUUAAAAAUGUACUUUAAAAAAAA